CUGGCGGCGUGCCUAAUACAUGCAAGUCGAACGGUCUUUCUAUGGAAGCUUGCUUCCACUGAGAAGAUAGUGGCGAACGGGUGAGUAACACGUGGGUAACCUGCCCAUAAGAGGGGGGAUAACAUCCGGAAACGGGUGCUAAUACCGCAUAGUUUUCUUGAUCGCAUGAUCGGGAAAGGAAAGACGGCCUUUGUGCUGUCGCUUAUGGAUGGACCCGCGGCGUAUUAGUUAGUUGGUGAGGUGACGGCUCACCAAGACGAUGAUACGUAGCCGACCUGAGAGGGUGAUCGGCCACAUUGGGACUGAGACACGGCCCAGACUCCUACGGGAGGCAGCAGUGGGGAAUAUUGCACAAUGGGGGAAACCCUGAUGCCAGCAACGCCGCGUGAGUGAUGACGGCCUUCGGGUUGUAAAGCUCUGUCUUCAGGGACGAUAAUGACGGUACCUGAGGAGGAAGCCACGGCUAACUACGUGCCAGCCGCCGC
rnacentral:rRNA from 1 species